GAUGAAGAACGUAGCGAAAUGCGAUACGUAAUGUGAAUUGCAGAAUUCAGUGAAUCAUCGAAUCUUUGAACGCAUAUUGCGCUCUUUGGUAUUCCGAAGAGCAUGCUUGUUUGAGUAUCAGUAAACACCUCAACCUCUUCUUGAUUUUUCAAAAGGAGGGUGGACUUGAGCUAUCCCAACAACCUUUACCGGUCGGCGGGCGGCUUGAAAUGCAGGUGCAGCUGGACUUUUAUCUGAGCUAAAAGCAUAUCUAUUUAGUCCUCGUCAAACAGGAUUAUUACUUUUGCUGCAGCUAACAUAAAGGAUAAUUGUCCUCUUUGCUGACUGAUGCAGGAUUUUACGACACUUUAUGUGUUGUUCAACUCGAUCUCAAAUCAAGUAAGACUACCCGCUGAACUUAAGCAUAUCAAUAAGCGGAAGA
rnacentral:misc_RNA from 1 species